AUCCGUUACCCAAGUUUCAGUUUUGUCAUGGUGGUAAUGCAACCUCUGGUGAAGGCGGACAGUUUUCAGCACUUUACAUGGCAGCCAGGGAACUGUAGCUGCAUAGAGGUGAAUAGAAGUGAAGCAUUGAUGAAGGUUUACUUUAGAUGUACCAGGGAUUUUUGAGUGGAUACACGGGGGGAGAACAAUAACCUGAUGUGAACACGGCGUAAUGCUGCAGGGGAGAAGAGGAUUGGAGUUUGCAGCUCAUCAGCAGCUACCAGUAUUCAUUUGCAAUAGACCAGGAGCAAAUCAAGAAUAUUGGAUUGCAGUGAAUUCAGCCCCCUUUACUCUGAUAACUCCAAAUAAAAUCUAGAGCGUGUUCUUCCUGGGCACACCGUCCCUGCAGCCAGCCAGGACGGGUGUUAGCAUCAUGAUAUGGGAGGUUUUCCUCAGACGGGACAGGGAAGUGGGUUAGGUGUUUGUGGGAAGAUG